GAUGAACGCUGGCGGCGUGCCUAAUACAUGCAAGUCGAGCGAACAGACGAGGAGCUUGCUCCUCUGAUGUUAGCGGCGGACGGGUGAGUAACACGUGGAUAACCUACCUAUAAGACUGGGAUAACUUCGGGAAACCGGAGCUAAUACCGGAUAACAUGUUGAACCGCAUGGUUCAACAGUGAAAGACGGUCUUGCUGUCACUUAUAGAUGGAUCCGCGCCGCAUUAGCUAGUUGGUAAGGUAACGGCCUACCAAGGCAACGAUGCGUAGCCGACCUGAGAGGGUGAUCGGCCACACUGGAACUGAGACACGGUCCAGACUCCUACGGGAGGCAGCAGUAGGGAAUCUUCCGCAAUGGGCGAAAGCCUGACGGAGCAACGCCGCGUGAGUGAAGAAGGUCUUCGGAUCGUAAAACUCUGUUAUUAGGGAAGAACAAAUGUGUAAGUAACUAUGCACGUCUUGACGGUACCUAAUCAGAAAGCCACGGCUAACUACGUG
rnacentral:rRNA from 1 species